rfam:Nasonia vitripennis chromosome 5 unlocalized genomic scaffold Chr5_random003, whole genome shotgun sequence.
UAAUCAGCCCUUUUCAGGGCUACCAUAUUUUUCAAACGAGGAACAA